GUGAUUUCGCUUUCAUUUCGUUAGCCAUGUUUUCGGGAUUGCUUUCUCUCGAAUACUGUAUGAACGACCACUAUCAGAUGCUAUUGAUAACGUCAUAGGGCUUAGUCAGCGUGGAAGCACAGACUACCAGACAAGACACAUACCCACUUUGAGCGAACGUGACCCUUAUUGACGACUUACCUCAACCGUCACUUCAUACGCGCAAUUUUUAAACGCGAGGACUGCCACUUUACAACACAAUCUCGGAUAAAAGCCAACAUAAUGUUAAAAAAAUACAUCAACAGAACUCAUAUUAUGUUUAACUUACUAAAAUAAUAAAGGCGUUCGUA